rnacentral:rRNA from 1 species
AGUGAACGCUGGCGGUAGGCCUAACACAUGCAAGUCGAACGGCAGCACAGUAGGGGCUUGCUCUUGCGUGUGGCGAGUGGCGGGCGUGUGGGAUAUACAGCAAAAUCUACUUUUUCGUGGGGGAUAACGGAGGAAAACUUGCUCUAAUACCACAUGCGACCUGCGUGUGAAAGCGGGGUCUCUUCGGACCUUGCGCGAGGGUGUGAGCCGAUGUCGGAUUAGCUAGUUGGCGGGGUAAAGGCCCACCAAGGCGACGAUCCGUAGCUGGUCUGAGAGGAUGAUCAGCCACACUGGAACUGAGACACGGUCCAGACUCCUACGGGAGGCAGCAGUGGGGAAUAUUGGACAAUGGGCGCAAGCCUGAUCCAGCCAUACCGCGUGGGUGAAGAAGGCCUUCGGGUUGUAAAGCCCUUUUGUUGGGAAAGAAAAGCAGCAGGUUAAUACCCCGCUGUGAUGACGGUACCCAAAGAAUAAGCACCGGCUAACUUCGUG